rnacentral:sRNA from 1 species
AAAUGAAAAAUCUCUCUUAUCUAAAAAGCAAAACAAAUUUUUUCUUUCUAAAUCUGGACCCAAACCCCAUAUCUCUCCUCUAUAAAUAUAAACGUCUCGUCUCUUAAAAAAAUCGUAUAAACUCUUAUAUACUUUCUCUAGCCGCCACAUUUUAAUAGAAA